rnacentral:lncRNA from 1 species
AUGGUUAUCCCAGUUACCAAACAAAGCACACAAAUUCAUCAUCCCCAAACCAAACCCACACUCUUCUAAAACCCUAACAAGUUCCUCUUUUACCUCUCUCACUGAGGACCCAUCAUUUUGAACCAUGUCGAUCGCUAAAGCCGCCUUCUUCAACCACCUGCAAACGCUCGCGAGAGCCUACCGCCCUCGCCUACCGCCGCCGUUUUCCGCCGUCCGUUACAUGUCUUUCGCGACGCAAGAAGAAGCCGCCGCGGAACGUCGCAAGCGCAAGCGCCGUCUCCCGUUACUCAAACAAAUCCAUUUGGUUGUUAGUUUGAAACUUAUUUUACAGAUUUAAAUUUGUUCAGACUUUUAAUGCUUCGUAGUUCAGUUACUGUUUUUGUAUUGGAUUUUCAGUAUGAUUCUGAAGUUUGGUUAGGUAACACACUUACACUGAACCGCACAUCCUAUGUGGUACUGCCGCUUAUCCAACCAAACUCACAUGCAUGUUGUUGUGGUCUUAAUGUGCAUUGAGUGCAGUCUACUCUACUCAAAUCAUACAACAUUCUUUGGUAAAACAAAGUUUAAAUACAUUACACUCAUCUAGAACUCAUUUAUAUAUCCCACAUCCAAGUACGUACAUCAGUAAAUGCAUGCAUGUUCCAUAUAUGCUAAUUUGUAUGCAUAUUCAAAUCUUCAUGUAGGUAUGUAUGCAUACUUAUAUCAUAUAUGCAUACGCAUCUAGAUAGAUAAAAAAACUCACAUGGAACGCAACCUAAAGUUGGAGGUACGCCGCGCAAUUACUGACCCACAAAUUGGUACAUAUAUAUACACAUUCAUGAUGGGGAGACAUAGAAGAGUUGCAUUUAUUUAUAUAUAUAGUUGGAUGUAGGUCAUUGCUAAUAUUGUGGUUGGACGCGUUAGAGAUCACUAGUUUCAUUAACAUUUCUAUGUAAAGACAUUUCUCAAAUACUAGUCUUUGAUUUUAAGUAAUAUAAAUCCAAUUUUUGUUUUUGUUUCAGUUCAUUUGUUGAAUCUAUAUUUAGAGAUAAACUAUUAUUGAUUUUAAGUAAUUACAUUGGUUUCUUAUGUUUAAUAAACUUAGAGUUGUUAAAACACAAAAACAUAACUGUGUUUCUUGUUUUGUUUUCCAGCUGCGACCGGAGCCGGUUUUAUUGCAAGAGACAUAACAUUCGAAAACUGGGCCGGUCCGGCAAAGCACCAGGCAGUUGCUCUCCGCAUUGGGGCUGACCAUGCGGUGAUAUAUCGAUGCAAUAUAAUUGGUUACCAAGACACACUAUACGUCCAUUCAAACCGCCAAUUCUUCCGUGAAUGUGAUAUUUACGGUACAGUCGAUUUCAUUUUCGGUAAUGCAGCCGUGGUACUACAAAACUGUAGCAUCUACGCACGCAAACCCAUGGACCUUCAGAAAAACACAAUCACGGCUCAAAACCGGAAAGAUCCGAACCAAAACACCGGAAUAUCGAUACAUGCGUCUAGGGUUUUGGCCACCCCUGAUCUCCAAGCGACCAAUGGUACCAUCCAGACGUAUCUAGGCCGACCGUGGAAGCUAUUCUCUAGGACGGUUUACAUGUUAACGUAUAUCGGCAGUCAUGUACACACGAGAGGUUGGCUGGAGUGGAAUACAACAUUUGCUUUAGAUACUCUAUACUACGGUGAAUAUUUGAACUCGGGUCCCGGGUCGAACCUUUCGCAACGUGUGAAUUGGCCAGGGUAUCGUGUCAUCAAUUCGACGGCUGAGGCAAACCGGUUUACGGUGACGGAGUUUAUAUAUGGUUCAUCGUGGUUACCUUCAACUGGGGUUUCGUUCUUGGCCGGAUUAAACAUUUAGGUAAAGGAAAAUAAAAUGAUUUUCUUUCCGAUGCAUUGUUUCAUUCUUGCGUCCAUAUAUUAAUGGACAUAUAUGAUUAAUCCUUUCCUAUACAAUUUAACUUUUUAAUUGUAUGAUUUCGGGAUAUAUAUAUUAUUCAAUAAGAUCGUGACUCGAGGAUAAUUUACAUUUGCAAUAUUCUUUUCGGUGGUACUAAUUAUAUAAUUCGGUGUGAUGAAGUAAUCGUUGGAUGUUCUGUGACACAGACUAGUUUGAUUUUACAUAUAUUUUGAAUAGAAAUAUAAUGUUUACUUUAGAAAGAAAUAUAAAGUGAAACUUUAGUGUUUUUUUUUGUGUGUCAAUAAGAAGGUCCAGCGACGUCAAAUUUUUUGAACCGAUUGAAUGUUUUGAAAAUUUUAGCGAAUAUCAAACAUGCAUUGUUUAUAAAAAUAACUAAUUAAAAAGGGGAGAAAUGGAGGCGUCGGUGCCGGUACGAACCAAUGUGACUGAAAUCAAUAUGGUCACAGCACAGAACCGACACCGACUGUGGGGUCCACGAUUUUGGGAACUUUAGUUCCAAUAAUUCGAGAACCGAUUAACUCACUAUGCAGCAAUAAUACCAAACACCAACAUGUUCUCUUACGUUAUGCAUUAUAAUUCGUUCUGAUUUAAACUAAGAAAGUAUUAUAUAACAAAUUGUUGACUUAAGAUUAGCUACUUAUAAAUGUAAUAAACUAUUUUUAAAUCUAUUAAGGUCGACAAACUAGAGUUUUUGAAUCAGUUAUUGUUACACCAAUCAACUAUUUAAUCUAAUUUUUAACUCUCCUAUUGUCUCCAAUCAAUUGUUGUAUGAUCCAUAGGUGUUUAGUAGAUAGUUAAUCUACAAGUUAAUGUGGCUAUACAACUGCUUCUAGAUAGCUAUUUUGUUGGAAAUUCCUUUAUUCACGUGUUUAAACGAAUAUAUCUACUGAAAUUCAAUUCUACUUAAUACUUGAUUGGUAGAGCAUUAGCAUAAGCAUUAUGUUCCUUAUUAUCUUAUCAACAUUUAGCACAUAAGUAUUUAGAAAAACAUUUACAUGAUGCUAAUGCUCUCCAAAUGCUCUUUUUGCUCAAUGCUCUCAUUUGGAGCUUUUGGUAGAGCAUUUGCAGUUAGAAUAUAUAAUUUUUUUAAAAAAAUUAUAUAUAAUUAAUUUAUUUUUGUUUAAUAUUAUAAAAAAUUAUGUUUAUAAUAAAAAAACAAAAUUUGCUUUAAAAAAAAUAAAAGUUGCAAUUAAAUUUUUUUGAACUUUUUAAAAAGAACAAUAUUUCACAUUUAAAGUAUAAUAUAAUUUAAAUAAUUACACGUAUCAUUCAUUAUUUUUAAUAACAAAACAUAACAUAAUAUAUAUUUAUAUAUUGCAUAUUAUAAAAUAAAAAUAUCUAUAUUAUUUAGAAAUAAGUAAAUUAUAUAUCACUUAUUAAUUUUUACGAUAAUAUUAUAAUUUAUUUGUUUUGAAUAAAUUUUAUAUUUUAAAUAAAUUUUAUAUUUUAAAUAAAUUUUACAUUUUUAAGAAAAUAAUAAUUCACAUUUAAAAAUUAAUUUAUAUAAUUAAAUAAUAUUUAUUAUUUUUAAUAACAAACAUAUUAUUUCAAAAUAAAUAUAUCAUAUAUUAACUUUUGUGGUAAUUUUAAAAUUGCAUAGUGUUUCUGCUCAACCAGUCAGUUUAUUAAAAACUUUAAUGAAAGCAUGCAGCUUCUGCAGCAUACUGCUUAUACAACAUACUGCUACUGCUUUAUCAUCUGCUGUACCAAACGAGGCCUAAGUGGCGUUUCAUAAUGUUAUAAGAUUAGCUAUGGAUCGGAUGAUACGACGUUGCUGAUCUAACCGAUGACAAAAAAAAGUUUAGAAAUUCAAAAAUAUUUGGGGAAAAUACCAACACAAUUUUAUUUGAUACAAAACAAACCAUUUUGGUUAUUUAAGGUGCCUUAGUCAAAAUUUAAUAAUUUUUUUACUCACAAAACAUGUAAUAUGAUCACCAAUUCCCAAUUGAGCUUUUCUUCUACACACUUUAUCGUUAUAAUGUAUAUGGAUCGAUGAUGUGAAAAUAUGAUAAAUAAAAAAAAGUAAUAAAGAAUAAAUAUGAUUCACUAAAUCAGUUUUACAUACGGAAAAAGAAAGGUUUUAUAAUUAGAGACAUUAUAUUUUUUGAUACAUUAAUUUUUUUUUUGGUAAAAUGUUAAAUAUUAUUACAAAUUUUCAAAUUUUGACAAACAAUACAAAUAUAUCAAAUGAUGGAAAGAAAUAAAAACAUACUGUAACAACAGAGGAACAUACUGAAAGCAACGGAAACUGAAGCAAAUAAGUGGUCUAAUAACGAGAGAGGUUCAGACCUACCAAUCAUGAUGGUUGCAGUGAGCUACUAAGAGAGGGGCACCCUCAAACCCUGAAUGCAACAGUUUAUACAAAUUCCAACAAGAGCCCAGAGCUUACCGAACGAAGAAUCCAAGCACAAACAAGUCUAAAGCAUACCCGAAAAUAGAGACCACUAGUGUAUAGGAGAAGUCGUAAACUGACGAUGCUCUCGUUCAGCAUCUUGUGCCAAAGAUUACCGCUUUCUACUGACGAGAUAUGAAACUUGAUACAUUAAAAUUAUCUUGGAUAAGUGUUCUAGUAACCAAUUUUUAGAACAAUUAUUGUUAACAGAUACAUAGAUCUAAAACCAAUAAAAAAAUUCAAACUGAAAUUUAACAUAUACAUUUGGACAACUAUUUGACACAUAAACCAAAUCAAUCAUUCUAGUUCAGUAACUUUUUGUUUAAUCUACUGCUCAUUAUGUGCAGCUUAUUUCAUCUCAAAUUUCUUGUUUUAAUAUCCUUUGUUCAAGAACAAGUUAAAAAAAAAAAAUCAUAGUAAAUACAGUGGAUCGCGGCCCACAUAAAGGCCCAUAUGUUAAUGGUUAGAAGUUAGCCUUCCUUACUGUCUUUUCUCUAUCCCCACGCAGAAACAUGGUUAUCCCAGUUACCAAACAAAGCACACAAAUUCAUCAUCCCCAAACCAAACCCACACUCUUCUAAAACCCUAACAAGUUCCUCUUUUACCUCUCUCACUGAGGACCCAUCAUUUUGAACCAUGUCGAUCGCUAAAGCCGCCUUCUUCAACCACCUGCAAACGCUCGCGAGAGCCUACCGCCCUCGCCUACCGCCGCCGUUUUCCGCCGUCCGUUACAUGUCUUUCGCGACGCAAGAAGAAGCCGCCGCGGAACGUCGCAAGCGCAAGCGCCGUCUUCGCAUGGAGCCGCCUCUCA